UUUAUACUCCCUCUAUCCGGAAAUACUUGUCGAAGAAAUGGAUGUAUCUGGACGUAUUUUAGUUAUAGAUACAUCCAAUUUUAUCCAUCUCUCCGACGACUAUUUCGGGACGGAGGGAGUACUAA
rfam:Triticum aestivum genome assembly, contig: Triticum_aestivum_CS42_TGACv1_scaffold_146036_2BS